CUUGCCUGCAAGAAGUAACUAACGUGACUAACAUUUGACCUUCAUCGGUCCUUCUGUUGGCUAUUGUUUCUAUCCAAUAAAAGUGAGACUGUGGAGUUGCUCGUGGCAGCAGUCCUUUUCGAUUGUUGUCCCUUGCUCCCAAUCUCUUGCAGCUGACUUGUUUGUGCCUAAUUCUUCUACC